GGAAACAUAUAACAGAUCUUUGAAUUAGUUUUUGUGACAGUGAUAAACUUUCUGUGUGAUAAUUUUGCAUGAACAGAAUUUGCCUUGGAUUUAAUGUUUAGUUAGUAGAAAAUGUGAAAAGAAAAUGCUAAGGCAAAAUUAUUCUAUAAAAUACUGUUUUUCUUGAAAUAAUGUGUCUACUCUUGGGAUAUAGUUAUGGUGUGUUUGGUGAUUUUCUAUAAGUCUUGAUUUUUAUUUAUGGGGCCUGGCUACCAGAUUGUAGCUGGUACACAGACUGUUGGGAUUGAUAAAACAUUCACCACAUUUGCAACGGUGGAGGAAGUAUUUACUGGGAUAAAAGAUGUAAUCCCAGACUUUUAAGUGAAGAUUAAAAGCUUAAUUUAAGUAUAGGAAAGUUGAAUAAGUGCCAAAAAGAUUCAAGGGUCAAGUGUAAAACCAUAUUCAACUUAACUGUAACUGUCAGGCUAACUGUAAAUUAUAUUGUUAAUAAUAAUAUAAUGAGUAUAACUUAUUGAGUGUGUGCUCUGCUUUAGGCCUGUUUUAAGCAUUUUGUAGGGACUAAUUCAUUAAAAUGUUGUAACAAUCCUAUACAAAGUAGGUACUAUCAUUAAUGACAUUUUCCAAUUAUAAUUUUGAAGUAUAAAAUUGAUAGACAUAUUACAAAGCUAGUUUAGCUUCAAUUAUAUUUUGGAUCUCAACUGGAAAUACUAUUUUUUUUUGAGCAUUUUAUCUGUCACUAUUAUUUAGGAUAAAAUAAAUUCUCAAUUUGAACUGAUUAUGUUUUAUAAUCAUUGCCAUAAAAUGGCCUCAGACCUCUACAGAAGUGACAUACAGAAUUUGAGAUAUUUUUCUGUGGUUGUUUGUCUAAUUAUAAAAUUAGAGAAAGGGUAUAGACACUUGCAAAAUAAAAUAAAUUGACAACUCUGUAAGUUUACCAUCAUGUUUUAAAUUGUGUCACUUUUGCCUAGGAAUUUAUCUUAACAGUGUUAAGUAAUGUCUGGAAUAUGAUGUGCAUACAAAUGUGAUAAUCAAAAUUCAUAAAUGCUCAAGCACCACUGAUGUCAUACACACGGUACUAUUGUAAAAUAACAAGGCGGGUACAGAGUCUAAUACUCAUUUAUGCCCAGUGAUUGCACAAGAAAGAAAAAAUAUCUCCAAGUCAAAUUUGAAAAGCAAUAUUCACGCAUUUCAAAGAACGCUAUAUCCAAGCUCUGAUUGUAGAAACAUUUUUUAAAGAGCAUUUUCUCCUCCAUUAAUUAUGUCAAUUGCUUCCCCAGCAAUUUACAUUCAUGAACCUUGGUUUCUAAGGCAUUUUAUAAUGACAACAUAAAUGAAUGAACAGAGCCUUUUCAGCCUUCCCUUUAUAUGAAAAUGGUUAAGGGCACCUUUUAAGUGUUCCCAUUGUUCUAUCACUGUGUACUUCCUCUGAGAAUAAUUGCAUUACCUUUGCCUACUCUAGGAUAUCCUUGAAAAUAAAAACCAAGGUUUUAUCUCAGAGGUAAAUGUUCUGCAGACCUGAGACAGUCAUCACUGUACUUCCUAAUUCUCUUGCUGAAGCCCAUGACCUUCAUUGUCAUCAAUCUUGGAGAAUAGCUUUCAAGCAGUUCCAUUUUAGUGACUGAAAGUGAAAUGUUUUGUUCAAAGCACCACAAACAAGUCACAAGACAACUCUAUUUACAUGUUAAUGGAACAGCAGAACAGAGAUGCUUAAGGCAACCAGAGGUUACCAUCAAGAUCCCUCAUAGUGUUUGCAUUACUUCGGGUGGUAUGUUGCAGAUGGCUCCUAAAACAACCACAUGCAUUAAUGAUGCUCUGUUUUAACCUUACCUAAUUCACUUACAUAAGUGGCUACUAGAGUAUUAAACAUCAGCCCACUCCCUGGUACUAAGCCAGAAUUCUCUCAUGGUCAGGGCAUUCUCCCUUUGGAAUGAGGUAGACGAUGAUAGAUGUGAUAUAAAUUACUACUCUCAGACCAUAAAUUACUUGUUCUGGGUCCCUGCCAAGGCUCUUAUCCAAGGAAACUCCAAUGGGUCAGGUUGAGUACCAAGAUACCCUUCAAAAAAGAAAGGAUAUGCAAAUUUUAGCAAUCUUAUCUGUAACCAUAAUUCAUUCCUUUCAUGGAUUCAUUCUCACAUAAUUUUUCAAUUAGAACAGAGCCACUUCCUCACAGGACCAUCUCACCCAAAAUAAUGCAUCAGAUGUAGGGACUUAUCUCUCAUUGACUGAUUCAUCCCUUGGUCCCCCUCAGAGAACCGAAAGAGGGUGGUUUCAUCAUUUUUCUCUCAUUUGUGUUAUCUAGCUUGGAAAGAUAAAGUUUAAUGCUGAGGAUAAAGGCAUUUGGGGGCUUUUAUCAGUUCUAAGUUAUUUAUUUAUUUAAGUAAAACAAUACAUUAAACUUCUAGUUAAACAUAGCACUUCUCUCCUCAGAGCACACUAACUGAUAGCAACAGAAUGAAAACAAGGUUUUAAGUCCAUAUAGAUAUAUAUAGAAGAAAAUAAGAGAGUAGCUUAAAAGACCUGCGUUUAGGGAGAACAUGAAAAGGUAUAACUGAUUUCUCAAGGCAGGGAGAACCCAACUUAUACCACUUCAGACAGGAAUACUGAUGAUGAGUAGGUGUAUUCAUCCCUGGGCAUUGUGUCUAGGGCUUGGACCCACCAGAUCCUCCAGUGGGCAAUUAUUACACAAGGGAAUUGACUGAAAAUAACAUAAUGAGUUAGAACCCCUGAUCCUCUCUCUUACUUCUGAAAGCCAUGUAAUUACUCUUCUUCAUUCAUACCCACUCCUUCGCAGGGGGUCAGAAAUUUACUCUCUGGAGAAAUUGACUUAGACAAAUUCUGGACAACCAACAUCAAAAAGACAGGAAUAAAGGCCCACAUCCAAAAAAAAAAAUAGAGGGGAAAUGUGAAAGUUUGUAGGGUCACAUUGAUAGUGCAUAGUGGAAUUCCUUACUGAAGAAUAUCCUCGCUGAGCGAUGGCACCCUCAGUUCCUCUCAUCCACCCAGGUUCCAGAAUAUUUGCAUACUUUACUACCAUUCCACUUCCAAGCCUGAAAAGAAGACUGCAGGGUUUAAAAGAUUUUCACAUAAGUUCACCCAAUGAACCAGCCGUCUUCCUCCCUAAUUAUAAUAAAACAGUGUGAUGUAGGGAUCCCACUUCAUUCCCUCACAUUUGAAUAUCCAGUUGCGCAGCCCCACUUACUGAAAAAACACCUACUGCUCUUUGUUUCUAUCUUCCCACUGCUUGGUUCUGGAUAUAUAUUUGGCUGUGGAAGUGCAUGUCAAAAAGGGAAACUAAAGCCCUAGGUUUCUCAUCAUUGGACCUAGAAGAGGGGUCCAGGGGAAAGGAAGAGAUGUCAGAGAUAUUGAGGAGAGCACUCAUUCUCAAGAUGCAUGGAUCUGACCAUAAAUAAAUACCAAAAUUAUGAUAACAGAAAUACAAAGUAGAAUACUGCACAGGUCCCAGACUUGGGUGAUCAGGACAUAUCUGAAUAACCCUGCAAAGACUAAAAAAUUAGCAGACAUUGGAACCACAGACCACAAGAUACAAGUUAGAACUUGUGGUCUGAAUUUAAUUUAAUUGAUUGCCUGCUAAAACAAAUGAAAAUAUUAACAUUUUCCAUGUUCCCAUAAACAAGACGCAAGAAUCGAAUAAACAUGAUAUUCAAAAUAUACAAGAUAUAAUGCAAAAUUACUUGACAUAUGAAGAAUGAGGAAAAUCUCAACAACUCACAAGGGAAAAGACAAGCAAUGGACACCAAUCCCAUGAUGACCCAAAUACUGGAAUUAUGACAAAAGACUUGAAAUAGUCAUAAUGACCAUGUUCCAAGAGCUAAGAGUCAGCACUUUGGAAACAACUGGAAAGACAGGUCAUCUCAGCAGAGAAAUAAAAGAUACAAGUCAGAAUAAAAUGGAAAUUUGAAAACUGAAAAACACAAGAACCAACAUUUAAAAUAUACCUGAUGGACUCAGUAGCAGGAUGGAGAUGACUAAAGGAAAAAUCAGUGAACUUGAACCUAGAUCAAUAGAACCUAUCCAAUUUGAACAACAGAGAAAAAAUAUUUGGAAAAAAAAAAGAAGAGCUCUUCUCCUCAUAGAAUUAUAUAAGAUGCUGAGAAGUCGAAUUUUCAUGCCAUCAGAAUCCAGAAGGAGAAAACAAGGAGGGCAGUUUAGAAAAAAAAUAUUUAAAGAAGUAAUAUCUGAAAAUUUUGCAUAAUACAUAAACUUGUAGGUUUAUAAAACUUAGUAAAAACCCUAGCAAUAUAAACUCAAAGAAGUUCAUGCCCAGACAUUAUAAUCAAAGUGCAGAAAACUACAUUUUACCACUCCCCUUUCUGUCAUCAGAAACCAAGGGGGCCAGAAAGUAGUAAGACAACAGUUCUUGAAGAACAGAACUGUCAACCCAGAAUGUUGUAUCCAGUGAAAAUAUUUUUUAGGAAUGAAGGUGAAAUAAAGACAUGUUUAGAUAAAGCAAGACUAAGAGAAUUCAUCACUGGCACACCUGCUCUAAAACAAAUGCAAAAGGAGGUUGUUGAUGAAGAAGGAAAUCAUAUCAGAGGUGAACUGAACUUCAGAAUUGAAGAGUAACAGAAUUGUACUUGGAUUUGCAAAUGACACGUGAAACCUGAACAGACUUGGAGUGCCACUGGCUGAAUGGUGAUUGGUCUGAAGUCAAGAGAUGAAAAUGUAGCCAAUUAUGUUGAGGAAGUCAGAACCAACCUACUGAAGAGAGGGCCUCAUGCAAGGACUUGUAGGAGCUGAGAGGGACCUCCCGCCAAAGUUAUGUGGGACAACCGCAAGAAACUGCAUUUUGUCAGUAACAGGAAUGAGCUCAAGAGAGGACACAGAGCUCCAGGUGAACAUAUAGCUGGCUGACCCUUUGAGUUUAGUCUUGUGAAACCCUAAGCAGAGAACCCAGCUAAGUCCACCUGGACUUCGGAUCUGUAGAACUGUGUGCUGAUGAAUGAGUGUUAUUUUAAGCCACCUAAUUUCCAUAAAACACUAGAAAUCUAACCCAGAUGCCUAUCUAGUAGCCAGGUAUCAUUCUCUUUUUUUACGUGGCAUUUAAUUUGGUUGUUACAGUCAUCUAUAAAAGACAAUCCUGUAACUCUUUUAGAGAUGGAAAACACGCUCAUGUAAUUCGUAUGACCUGUCUAAGGUCUCAUAAAUUCCAAGCGUCAUAAACCAGACUAGGAGUCGUGGGCUGUUUAUGUAAGUAUAAGCAGCUUUUGUUACAUGACUCGCAAAAGUCUGGUGGACUAACUGGCAGGGAUACCAUCCAUCCAGUGAAAGUCACUCCAGAGGAGUGACUUCAAAGGAACACAUUUUCCCCUUGAACUACCCUAUAAUAGUAGAUUGAAGACAGAUCAGCCCCAAAGGCUAAGGUGGUUAAUUUUUGGCGAUUCCUUUCUGUCCUCUUUAGCUUAACAUGACCUCUUAACCAUGGUAUUCCAUUUCUGAACCAUGAAUAGAGUGCUGCAUUUUACAUGUAGUGUUAGGUUUUCAUUUUCUGCCAGGACUUGUCUUGAAGUAUUUGCUUUACCUUUAUGGAACAGUACUGGGAUUAACUCUUAGUAGUUAAAUGCACCUCCCCCACAUCACUAACUAAAGGGAAGCAACUUCCAACUUCUUAUACCACAUAAAAUUCACUUAAUUUUUAAAAUGUAAUUUGUCAGAAGAAAGCCUAGCCUAGUUUCCUUAAGACUAAUCAGAUUCAUCUGCUGAAUCUUCCAUUGGAUCACCUGGACCAUAGACAAGUUGACUGAUAGAGUUAUAGCAAUUCUCAGAAACAGAAAAUAUAUCCAAAGGUUAUCAUCUAAGUCCAAGUAAGAUUCGAGAGUUAUUUUUAUAGAUUUCCACAUAGUAAUAUUGUUUUAUUUUAUAGUAUUCUAUUUCAGUUAUAAAUAAAAUGUGACAUUUGCUCCGUGAAUCCUACUUUGACCUGAAAUAUAUCUAGAAUGAAUUCCUAUGCUAUUCUUUUAAGAAUAUAAGAAUACUUUUUAAAAGAAUUAAACAUUUAGUAUAAAUAAUUUGAGAUGGUUUGUAGGGUAUUUGUGUGAGCCACAUGGCCUGAGUUAAUCUUUCUUUGUAAAUGGAGUAUUUUCUGAGUUGAAUUAUUUUUUCACACCAGAAGAGCUGUAGAGCUCUAGUUGAUGUGAUAGAGAGAAGUAUUUAAUUGAAUUUCACAGGGCAAGACAUUUCCCACUGCA